rnacentral:rRNA from 1 species
GACGAACGCUGGCGGCGUGCUUAACACAUGCAAGUCGAACGGAAAGGCCCUGCUUUUGUGGGGUGCUCGAGUGGCGAACGGGUGAGGAACACGUGAGUAACCUGCCCUUGACUUUGGGAUAACUUCAGGAAACUGGGGCUAAUACCGGAUAGGAGCUCCUGCUGCAUGGUGGGGGUUGGAAAGUUUCGGCGGUUGGGGAUGGACUCGCGGCUUAUCAGCUUGUUGGUGGGGUAGUGGCUUACCAAGGCUUUGACGGGUAGCCGGCCUGAGAGGGUGACCGGCCACAUUGGGACUGAGAUACGGACCAGACUCCUACGGGAGGCAGCAGUGGGGAGUAUUGCACAAUGGGCGGGAGCCUGAUGCAGCAACGCCGCGUGCGGGAUGACGGCCUUCGGGUUGUAAACCGCUUUCGCCUGUGACGAAGCGUGAGUGACGGUAAUGGGUAAAGAAGCACCGGCUAACUACGUG